AGGACGAACGCUGGCGGCGCGCUUAACACAUGCAAGUCGAGCGAGAACCUGGCCUUCGGGCCUGGGGAAAGCGGCGAACGGGUGAGUAACACGUGGGUAACCCACCCUUGGUACCGGGAUAGCCCGAGGAAACUCGGAUUAAUACCGGAUGGCCCAACAGCUCUUCGGGGCGGUUGGAAAAGGUAGCUUCGGCCUCCGACCAAGGACGGGCCCGCGGCGGAUUAGCUUGUUGGUGAGGUAACGGCUCACCAAGGCGACGAUCCGUAGCUGGUCUGAGAGGACGAUCAGCCACACUGGGACUGAGACACGGCCCAGACUCCUACGGGAGGCAGCAGUGGGGAAUCUUGCGCAAUGGGCGAAAGCCUGACGCAGCGACGCCGCGUGGGGGAAGAAGGCUUUCGGGUUGUAAACCCUUUCAGGAAGGACGAAGCCACUCGGGUGAAUAGCCCAGAGGGUGACGGUACUUCCAGAAGAAGCCCCGGCUAACUACGUGCCAGCAGCCGC
rnacentral:rRNA from 1 species